UACUAAACUUGAAACACCUCUUAAAACACAUGUUGUGGGUCCAGAAGAACACAUCUUUCAGUCUUUGAGAAGUAUUUAAAAUACUCCGGCAGAUGAAGAUUUGGAUUUGGCUCGCUUGAUGCUGGACGAUUAAUGAAGGAAGCCCUAACUGGACAAAUGUUGGUCUCCUGAGACAAAGUGUUGUUGAUAACAGAGCAAGCCUG
rnacentral:lncRNA from 1 species